CCUACGGGUGGCUGCAGUGAGGAAUAUUGGUCAAUGGGCGCGAGCCUGAACCAGCCAAGUAGCGUGAAGGAUGACUGCCCUACGGGUUGUAAACUUCUUUUAUAAAGGAAUAAAGUGAGGCACGUGUGCCUUUUUGUAUGUACUUUAUGAAUAAGGAUCGGCUAACUCCGUGCCCGCAGCCGCGGUAAUACGGAGGAUCCGAGCUUUAUCCGGAUUUAUUGGGUUUAAAGGGAGCGUAGAUGGGUGGUUAAGUAAGUGGUGAAAUUUUGCGGCUCAACCGUAAAAUUGCAAUUGAUACUGGCAGCCUAGAGGACAGUUGAGGUAGGCGGAAGGCGUGGUGUAGCGGUGAAAUGCUUAGAGAUCAGGAAGAACUCCGAUUGCGAAGGCAGCCUACUAAGCUGCCACUGACAUUGAUGCUCGAAAGUGUGGGUAUCAAACAGGAUUAGAUACCCUUGUAGUC
rnacentral:rRNA from 1 species